rnacentral:rRNA from 1 species
UACGGGGGGAGCAAGCGUUGUUCGGAUUUACUGGGCGUAAAGGGCGCGUAGGCGGCCUCCGCAAGUCAGUUGUGAAAUCUCCGAGCUUAACUCGGAAAGGUCAACUGAUACUGCGGGGCUAGAGUGCGGAAGGGGCAACUGGAAUUCUUGGUGUAGCGGUGAAAUGCGUAGAUAUCAAGAGGAACACCUGCGGCGAAGGCGGGUUGCUGGGCCGACACUGACGCUGAGGCGCGAAAGCUAGGGGGAGCGAACGGG